CGGCUAUAUCACAUUGGAACACCGUACGAUCAUCGAAGUUAAGCAAAGUCGAGCUUUGUUAGUACCAAGAUGGGUGACCGCUUCGGAAUACCAAAUGCUGUAA